rnacentral:rRNA from 1 species
GACAGAGGGUGCAAACGUUGUUCGGAAUCACUGGGCGUAAAGCGCACGUAGGCGGACUCUUAAGUCGGUGGUGAAAUCCUGGAGCUCAACUCCAGAACUGCCUUCGAUACUGGGAGUCUCGAGUUCGGGAGAGGUGAGUGGAACUGCGAGUGUAGAGGUGAAAUUCGUAGAUAUUCGCAAGAACACCAGUGGCGAAGGCGGCUCACUGGCCCGAUACUGACGCUGAGGUGCGAAAGCGUGGGGAGCAAACAGG